rnacentral:rRNA from 1 species
UAAGUGCGAAGCCGGCCACAAGAUUAGGACUCCUUAUAGGGUCGUCGCAGACUACGACGUUGAUAGGGUGCAGGUGUAAAGACGGCGACGUCAAAGCCGAGCACUACUAAUUGCCCGAACACUUUCUUCGU